rnacentral:rRNA from 1 species
UACGAGGGGGGCGAGCGUUGUUCGGAAUUAUUGGGCGUAAAGGGCGCGUAGGCGGCUCGGCACGUCCGUUGUGAAAUCGCCCGGCUCAACUGGGCGGGGUCAGCGGAUACGGUCGAGCUUGAGCAAGCUAGGGGGCAAUGGAAUUCCCGGUGUAGUGGUGGAAUGCGUAGAUAUCGGGAAGAACACCGGUGGCGAAGGCGGCGAGCUGGUCCAUUACUGACGCUGAGGCGCGACAGCGUGGGGAGCAAACAGG